AAGAACGUAGCGAAAUGCGAUACCUGGUGUGAAUUGCAGAAUCCCGCGAACCAUCGAGUCUUUGAACGCAAGUUGCGCCCGAGGCCACUCGGCCGAGGGCACGCCUGCCUGGGCGUCA
rnacentral:rRNA from 1 species